UACAGAGGUCCCAAGCGUUGUUCGGAUUCAUUGGGCGUAAAGGGUGCGUAGGCGGCGCGGUAAGUCGGGUGUGAAAUCUCGGAGCUUAACUCCGAAACUGCAUUCGAUACUGCCGUGCUUGAGGACUGGAGAGGAGACUGGAAUUUACGGUGUAGCGGUGAAAUGCGUAGAUAUCAUAAGGAAGACCAGUGGCGAAGGCGGGUCUCUGGACAGUUCCUGACGCUGAGGCAUGAAGGCCAGGGGAGCAAACGGG
rnacentral:rRNA from 1 species